rnacentral:tRNA from 1 species
GCAGUCUUGGCCGAGUGGUUAAAGCGAUUGACUAGAAAUGUAAUGGGGUGUCCUUGCAUAGGUUCGAAUCCUGCCGACUGCG